rnacentral:rRNA from 1 species
GGCAGGCUAGAGUGUGGUAGGGGAGACUGGAACUCCUGGUGUAGCGGUGAAAUGCGCAGAUAUCAGGAAGAACACCGAUGGCGAAGGCAGGUCUCUGGGCCAUUACUGACACUGAGGAGCGAAAGCAUGGGUAGCGAACAGGAUUAGAUACCCUGGUAGUCCAUGCCGUAAACGUUGGGCACUAGGUGUGGGGGACAUUCCACGUUUUCCGCGCCGUAGCUAACGCAUUAAGUGCCCCGCCUGGGGAGUACGGCCGCAAGGCUAAAACUCAAAGGAAUUGACGGGGGCCCGCACAAGCGGCGGAGCAUGCUGAUUAAUUCGAUGCAACGCGAAGAACCUUACCAAGGCUUGACAUGCACCGGACGGCCGCAGAGAUGUGGCUUUCUUCGGACUGGUGCACAGGUGGUGCAUGGUUGUCGUCAGCUCGUGUCGUGAGAUGUUGGGUUAAGUCCCGCAACGAGCGCAACCCUUGUUCUAUGUUGCCAGCACGUGAUGGUGGGGACUCAUAGGAGACUGCCGGGGUCAACUCGGAGGAAGGUGGGGACGACGUCAAAUCAUCAUGCCCCUUAUGUCUUGGGCUUCAAGCAUGCUACAAUGGUCGGUACAAUGGGUUGCGAAACUGUGAGGUGGAGCGAAUCCCAAAAAGCCGGCCUCAGUUCGGAUUGGGGUCUGCAACUCGACCCCAUGAAGUCGGAGUCGCUAGUAAUCGCAGAUCAGCAACGCUGCGGUGAAUACGUUCCCGGGCCUUGUACACACCGCCCGUCAAGUCACGAAAGUCGGUAACACCCGAAGCCAGUGGCCCAUCCUUGUGAGGGAGCUGUCGAAGGUGGGAUCGGU